rnacentral:lncRNA from 1 species
UUUCAUAUACAUCUUUUGGCACUCAAAUAUGCGGUUUAUUGAGAUAUGACCAUCAAUUCUUGCUGUGAAAUAUUGAAUAUUUGCAUGGAAAUCAUAUAAUGAAUCAUUUACUAGUCAUUGUGUUUCUUUUGCAGAAAAGUGCGACAAGGCACUAUAAUCUACAAGUUCCUGUCUAGAAAGAAUUGAGGAACAAGAUCACGGGCAAGAAGAGAAGAAAGAGGGACUCAAGCUUGAAGAAGAUUAAAGCUUAGGGGGGCUAGCUUAAGAAGUGGAGGGAUCAUCUUGUGCCAAAAGAAGGAAGAAGGAGGGCCAAAGUGAAAACAUUUAGAUCUGACCGGAGGGGAUCAAAAUCCCUAGCAGCCUCCAUUCCCAAAACGAGCCUGGCAUAUCUCUCUUCUCCCUUACCCCUUCUUCCCCAUCACCGGCCGCCACCGUGGCCAGGCCGGCGUGGCGGCGCGCCACCAGCUCUACUUCGCCGCAACACACCCAUCCAUCCAUGCCACACCCAGCCAACCAUCCCGCCAUCUCCACAAUCCAACACCUCCAGCCACCAGCGCCCAUCUCGCCUGCCAUACUCGCGCGCUUGACCAGACGAGGGGAUCCUGGAGUCUGAUCCCUAGCAAACUCUCCUACUGCUGCUCAUCUACAACUCUCCCUGCUGCUGUUUUUCAACAAGAUCGCCUCCCAUCCGCGCCCUUUUGUUGUCGCUCUUGCUUCUUCUCCGAACCUCAGUCUGCUGCUGCUUCUUCUCUCUGAACCGCCUGCUGCUCUUCCUCAACGCCCCCUGCGACUUCGCUCUUCUCCACAACCCUGCUACUACUUCUCUUUUUCCCCUAACGCUGUCGUUGCUGCUCUUCUUCUACCUGUCGCUGCUGCUGCUCUCAACCUCUCUCCUUGCGCCCCUUCUUCUCCCACGAACUGCUGCACCUUCUCCUCUCAACGCCUCCUACUACUGCAUUUUUUUCUCCAACGCCCCUGAUGUCCAGCUGCUCCUCUUCACCAACUUGCUGCUGUCAUAUCUCUCUAUCUCUCUUUCUCCCUCUCUUUAUUCUCUAAAUUUCUGUAAUCUUUGAGUAGUGUAAUGUUCAGUACUCUGUAAUGUUCAGAAUUGAGAUGUGUAAUACUUAUAAUAUUCAGAUUUCAUAAGAGCUUAUAACCUGACGAUUGUUCAGUUUCGGACUUAUAAAUAUUGUAUCACAUAUUGUGUGUUCUCACCAGUUGAAGUGUUCUUGCCGUGUAUUUGUGGUCUAUCUGUCACCAUAUAUGAGUAUCCAACCUUGUGAACUUGUUUCAUUUUGUAGUCUGUGUUAACUCCAGCACGUGUGAUAUAUAUAUACAUGUGUGCCUAUGAUGUGAUAUGUUCAUGUUCUGUCCUAAAACCCUAUUUCUUCCUCCAUGUUAUAUAAAUGAUCAUGUCUUUUUAAUUCCCUAGCUGUUUGAUGAUUGCUCGUAUUAGUAUUUUAACUUCUCAAGCAUUACGAAAAUACCAAAAAGACAAUGAGUAAAAUCUGAAUCUCCCUUUGCUUCUUUUCAUUUACUUUGUUGCCAAUUUUCCGAAACGAUCUUAGAUUCUUCAGGUUUAUUUUCCCAGUAAUCGUCACUUAAAUUUUCUAUCCUAGCUUUAGCCGAGCAUCAUCGCUGAUCAUCUAGUCCCUGUGGAGAACAUGACAUUCGUAGUUUGGGGCGUAAAAACCCCGCUAUAUUACAAUUGAUCAUUUUUGGCGCCGUUGCCGGGGAAUAGCAUCGAGCGAUUGUGUGAAGCUAUAGACUAGGCUUAGUAUAGUUUUUGUUUAAAUUUCCAGUCAAAUUUAUUUCUGUGUUUCUUUUACCUUUUUACUUUUUGUUGCUUCGGCUUAUUAGGGUACUAACCCUCUCACCAGUCUUUGAUGUUUGUGAGCAUGUGUAGGAUAUCUUACUAUUUGUAGGCUGAUUGACAGUUGCGCUUGAACAUAUGGCUUUAGUACGUGAUCUUUGGUUGCCAAGUAGCUUGGGCACGAUGACAGGGCCAAUUUGGCCAUCUAUUGAGACCGAAAAUUUUGAGUUGAGGCCUGGACUUAUUGCUCUCGUCUUGCAGAAUCAGUUUAGAGGAUUACCCAACGAAGACCCUCAUGAGCACAUUUGUAAUGUCCUGGAGUAUGCCAAUACUGUCCAGUACCAUGGCGUUUCCCAAGAUGCUAUCAAGUGUAUGCUGUUCACAUUCUCUCUCAGAGAUGCUGCUAAGGACUGGUACUAUUCUUUGCCAUCAAUAUCAUACACUUGGGGUGAUAUUUCGCAAGCUUUCCUGGACAGAUAUUUUCCACUUUACAAGCAAGCUGCAAUUCGUGACCAGAUCCUCAGUUUUGCGCAAGAUGGAAGUGAGAGCUUGUAUGCAGCUUGGGAGAGAUAUAAGUAUUUGCUUAGAAAAUGUCCUAAUCAUGGGCAAAAGGAUUGGUUAGUGCUCCAGAUAUUCUAUAGAGGGCUGACACAUGCUUCGAGAGAUCUUAUUGAUAUGUCCGCUGGUGGAACAAUCAUGAACAAGACCGUUGAGGGUGCAAUUAUUCUCAUUGAGAGCAUUGCCUUCCACCAAAUGCAAUGGGGUUAUGAAAGGUCCAGUUCAAAUCCGAAGGUUGCAAGCCAUCUGCAAUCAGAAGCUGUGUGUUCCAUAAGUGAACAGAAAUCAUCGAUGGUGCCUAAUAUUCAAAACCAGCAUGUUCCAUUCCGGGGACAACAACAUUUCAGAGCUGAAGUAGAUCCUCCAUGUAGAAAGAUUGAUCUUACUUCAAGUAUCCUUGAUGAUGAUUAUGAUAUUUUUCAAGAUGAUGCAACCAUUGUAGAUCAGAUGGAAACCACAGUAGCAGAUCCAAUACCUCAAUGCAAUGAAACUGUCCAGACUGAGUUAAAGUUGCAAGAUGAUGUUUAUGAGGAACCUACUCUGAUUGAUGCUAAGUUGAGACAACAAGAUAUGGAGAAAUUCACUUGUGUUAGUCAACUAUGUGACUGGUGGAACUUAGUCGUGGCACCAAUUGCCCACACUUGUGUUACAACUGUAUCUGGGAUAUUUGUCAAGAAGAAAUCAUUAGCUCCACCGGUGGUUGCCUCUAUCUCAGUUAAAGAGAGUAUCUCAUAGAAGAAUAGUGAAGAUGAGAUUCCAACUCCUGCACAUACAUCUAAGCAAGUCGGAGACAUUCCAAGGAGAGAGAUACAAGAGGUUGAGUCAAAUUUAGAAGAGUUGAUACUUCAAUAUCCUGAGAAGAUCCCACGUGUUGCUGAGCUGCAUGACUGGUGGAAGUCAUCAGUGUCAUUGUUGAAACUUAGCAGUGAUGGUGAUGAGGAGAAUAUUGCUCAGAAAGACAGCGAGGUAGUGAUCUCAGCACCCCUACCAGAUCAUGUUAGUGCAUAUUCACAGAUGGGGACACUUCAGACUCAAUUAGGUGUUGCUGGUAGUAGCACCAUAGAAGAUCCAGAGGAAGAGAGAUCUCAACUUGAAGAAGAAAUACUCGAAGACGAGGAACAAGAUGAUCCAGAGCUCGAACAACCAAGUGAUCAAGUUGAAGAUUCAUCAUCUACUACUCUUGAAGAAGCAACAGAAGUUGCUGUAGAUGAACUUGAAGAACCAGAAAUUCAUUUGCCUAUUGUCAUACAAGAGCGUGAUGUAGCAGGUUUAUCUAAUCCUCUUGAUGACAUGCGUCCCUAUGACUUAUUUGCUUCUACCUUGCAUUACAUGAUACCAUCAAUUAAGGUAGAUUUGAGAAAGUAUUUUCUUGGAUAUGAUGAUAUAUACCAUGUUCAUGGCAUUGCUCACAUUUGUUACGAUUACACUUAUGCUAGACCCAUGCUUAAUGAAACAUGUCAUUCUCAUGUUAGUCUGGAGCUUAAUGAUAAAUAUCAUCCUCAUGUUAGCAUUGAGCUUACUGAUUUGUACCAUCCUAAACAUGUGCUUUAUAGCUAUGCUUAUGUAAUUGGAUAUUCGAUUGAUGACUUGGAGGGUAUUAGCCCUACCACUUGCAUUGUCUCUUUCAUUGAGUGCUCUUUCAGGUUCUUGCUUGUGCACGAUCCACUACAUGCUGACCAAGUUCGAGAUGACAUUCCCUGGGACCCCGGUGGACCUAUGGCAUGGGGAUGAGGAGAAGCAAGGAGCACACAUGAAGAGAGAAGAUGGAGCAGGCAUGAGGAUAGGGAAGCAAUAGGAGAGGAGUCACAAUGCACGAGGAAGCAAAGGAGAGGAGCUGCAGUUGGUGAGGUGAUCGAGCGAGUGCUACAUCAUCAAAGCCCGGUGAGCUGUUUCAUGACCCAUUCCGAGUACAUCAUCCUUUGAUACAUGCUGAAAUCAAAUGUUAUUUGGGUUGCUUAAGCCAUGUCUUAAAUGUUGCCCCACUGAAUUUUAUUUGACAUAUGGUGCUUGAUGAGAAUAUGCGAACUGAUUGUUGAAUGCCAUGUAAACUAGUGAUCUACAUAUUGCUUGCUUUGCUAAAAUUAGUGAAAGUUAUUAGUUUUGAGUGCUCAAAUCCCUAGUACACUAGAAAACUUAAUCAUUUUCUGCUUUUACCUCGAUACACCUAGAUCACGACGUUUAGAUGCUGAAUUUGUGCCAAGUGUCUUCCCAUUGAGAGCAAUCACCUAACCACUAUGGAUUAGCAUGCUAUGUUCCCUGGAUCGGUAGCAUGUGAACCAGACAUGGAGAAGUGAUGAUUCCUGUUUUUGUUCUUAUGCAUUGUUCAUUUAAGAUAAGUAAUAAUGAAUAAAUAAGUCUGACUACCUACAGUAGCAUGUCAUGUUCCCGGGAUCGGUGGCAUGUGAAAUUGGGUUAGCUUGGGCAGUAAUUAAUAAUAAAAAAAUUGUAAUUGUCGAACCAGGUGUAUACCAUGUUCUCGGGAUCGGUGGUAUGUUCCUUUGGGGAGACAAACAAACUAAAAAAACUAAUAACUGGUCGAGCCAGGUGUAUACCAUGUUCUCAGGAUCGGUGGUAUGUUCCUUUGGUGAGACUGAUAAUAUAUUAUCAUUACUUCCUUCAAAUUCAAUAAGUGGUUCAACCACAAAGUCAUAUUUCUGCAAAUAAGAGAUUUAAUUCCAGUUCUUUUUUGUUCUCGCGAUCAUGCUCUCUUUAGGGACCAUUUGGCGCAGUCAUCAUUUAAACUUGUUGAUCCUCUUUUAUCAUUGUAAAAGUUUAAAAUGGUCAUGCUUACUAGUAUCCUAUUGCUCUGUAGCACUCUUAACCAUUGAUUUUCACUAGCUAAGUCCAAAGCAUGCACUGUUUAGAGAUCUACUUCACUUGGACAUUCUCUAGUCAGCUCACUAUUCACUAUCCUGCUCUUGUCAUAUUCCUUUGCUUGAGGACAAGAAAAGAUUUAAGUGUGGGGGAACUUGAUAAGCACAUUUCAUAUACAUCUUUUGGCACUCAAAUAUGCGGUUUAUUGAGAUAUGACCAUCAAUUCUUGCUGUGAAAUAUUGAAUAUUUGCAUGGAAAUCAUAUAAUGAAUCAUUUACUAGUCAUUGUGUUUCUUUUGCAGAAAAGUGCGACAAGGCACUAUAAUCUACAAGUUCCUGUCUAGAAAGAAUUGAGGAACAAGAUCACGGGCAAGAAGAGAAGAAAGAGGGACUCAAGCUUGAAGAAGAUUAAAGCUUAGGGGGGCUAGCUUAAGAAGUGGAGGGAUCAUCUUGUGCCAAAAGAAGGAAGAAGGAGGGCCAAAGUGAAAACAUUCAGAUCUGAUCGGAGGGGAUCAAAAUCCCUAGCAGACUCCAUUCCCAAAACGAGCCUGGCAUAUCUCUCUUCUCCCUUACCCCUUCUUCCCCAUCACCGGCCGCCACCGUGGCCAGGCCGGCGUGGCGGCGCGCCACCAACUCUACUUCGCCGCAACACACCCAUCCAUCCAUGCCACACCCAGCCAACCAUCCCGCCAUCUCCACAAUCCAACACCUCCAGCCACCAGCGCCCACCUCGCCUGCCAUACUCGCGCGCUUGACCAGACGAGGGGAUCCUGGAGUCUGAUCCCUAGCAAACUCUCCUACUGCUGCUCAUCUACAACUCUCCCUGCUGCUGUUUUUCAACAAGAUCGCCUCCCAUCCGCGCCCUUUUGCUGUCGCUCUUGCUUCUUCUCUGAACCUCAGCCUGCUGCUGCUUCUUCUCUCUGAACCGCCUGCUGCUCUUCCUCAACGCCCCCUGCGACUUCGCUCUUCUCCACAACCCUGCUACUACUUCUCUUUUUCCCCUAACGCUGUCAUUGCUGCUCUUCUUCUACCUGCCGCUGCUGCUGCUCUCAACCUCUCUCCUUGCGCCCCUUCUUCUCCCACGAACUGCUGCACCUUCUCCUCUCAACGCCUCCUACUGCUACAUUUUUUUUCUCCAACGCCCCUGAUGUCCAGCUGCUCCUCUUCACCAACUUGCUGCUGUCAUAUCUUUCUAUCUCUCUUUCUCCCUCUCUUUAUUCUCUAAAUUUCUGUAAUCUUUGAGUAGUGUAAUGUUCAGUACUCUGUAAUGUUCAGAAUUGAGAUGUGUAAUACUUAUAAUAUUCAGAUUUCAUAAGAGCUUAUAACCUGACGAUUGUUCAAUUUCGGACUUAUAAAUAUUGUAUCACAUAUUGUGUGUUCUCACCAGUUGAAGUGUUCUUGCCAUGUAUUUGUGGUCUAUCUGUCACCAUAUAUGAGUAUCCAACCUUGUGAACUUGUUUCAUUUUGUAGUCUGUGUUAACUCCAGCACGUGUGAUAUAUAUAUAUACAUGUGUGCCUAUGAUGUGAUAUGUUCAUGUUCUG